GGCAUGGCUUAAAUACUUUGGGUUUUGAUUCUGAAUCAUCAGUUGUCACAGGUUCACCACCAUGAUGGGUCUCAAAAUUCAAAUUUGAGAUAAUACUACAGUCUGCCCCACUCUUGGUCAUCUCCACAGCUAUGCUGUCCCCCUUCCCAAAACCACUUCUUUGCCAUGCACCCAAUAUAUAGAAGAAACAGCACAAACCAACUACAAUGAAGAUAGAUAUAGAGCUCCUAGUCCUACUGUCGGCUGAGAUUAUUUUGGUUGCCAUAAUGAACCUGAAAUAUUUCCGGAUUAUUUAGAAAAUCGGAAUGAAAUGCAAAUCAGGCAAAAAUACACAAGGUGAAAAUUACAUAUAUAUAUAUAUUGCAAAUCAGGCAAAAAAAAUAUUGGGAUAACCAAUUAAAAGGGAUGAAAUCAUCCCCGCUUUGAAAAACUAACCCUUCACCAUUUUUUCAACCUAAAAAAUACCCAUUUUAGACAAAAAUACCCUCAUAUUUUUCUUGCAAAAGUAACUCUUUAUUUUAAAACACACAUGUAAAUAAUGAAAAUAUUGAAGGCUAUUUAUGUCAAAAAUGGGUUACUCUUCAAGUUCAAAAAAUGGGAGGUUAGGUCUACAAAUUUGGGAUGUUUUCAUCCAAUAUAAUCAAUUAAAUCCAAAAAUACAGGGUAAAAAUUUUAUAAAAAGAGACAUAUAUACAAAUAUGAAUAUAGAGCAAACAUCAAACAUCAUAUUACACCCGACUUACACUGUCAACAACUUUUUUGUGGAAUCAAUGAUUUGCCAAGCCCACCGUUAUAUUAUGUGUCAAUGAUGGAACAUUUAGAGCAGUACAUUUCAUAUAGAACUUCAAGUCGGAGUCCUAUCCCUCGUUUUUCCAUUUUUUUUUCAUCAUUAAAAAUUAAAAAGGAGAAAAAAAGAAUGAAGAAGAAGAAGAAGAAGAAGAAGAAGAAGAAGAAAGGGAGGCAAAUGGAUCCAGCAGCCGAUUAUAUCCAAGCAUCAUAGAUUUGGAAAUCACAAGUUGGAACAUAUUAUCCGACAGGGCUCUUGAAAAAUCACGGCUACCUCAUAAAUAUUCUUAGAUCUCACACCGGGCAUCAUUUGAUCCCUCUUCAUAUUUCAUUAGUCCCCACUAUACUUUUUAAAUCAACUUGUAGCCCAGAUGCUGGACUCCAAAACCCACAUUGCCUAAAAUAACUGAAAUCAGCACCUUUCCCUUUUCUUUCAACAUCAUAAAUCUACAAACUUUAACACAAGAACAACAACUAAAUUAUGUUCACAAAACUCUGACUGAGAACCAGUCCAUACAGACAAAAAUAAAAAACAAAAAAAUAAAAAAAUCCAGUACUCGGAUUUCUCAAAUUCCAAAACUAUAAGAUACAGAAUUACAGAACCACGAUCAAAAUCAUAAGAUCAAACUGAACAUUUAUGACACUUCCAAAAGCAGAAAACUAUGAACAGCUGGUUUGAGCUAGUAAAAGGGCAGUGAUGAACAAAAGACAACACUCGCCACCUCAAACCAACACCUUAAAUGAAAAUAACAAUAAUAAUUCCGACAAACAAGAAACUAGUAAAGCAAUCUUAAAGAAAAAACACAGCAAAAACAAUCGAGAGAGUGAGAAAUCAAAUCAAACAAGGAAUGAUGAAGAAAACAACAAAUGUGCAUCGAUUGUUCAGAUCCCGUACCAAUCGCAUGAAGCGAAGCCAACAGUGAUUCGCUAAUCAAAAUCGAGACUACACAUCAAAGUGAGAGAUUUCAGAUUCGGUCUUUCGCGUAUGAGAUGACUAUCGAGUUUAUAGAUCGAAGAGACGCGUCUCUCCCUCUCUAUGCAUCAACCUAAUCUUUAUUUCUG
rnacentral:lncRNA from 1 species